rnacentral:rRNA from 1 species
AUGGAGGCGGGCGGCAAAGAUGGCAACCCUUUGAAGAAUUACCGUAUUGGGAAGACCCUGGGGAUUGGUUCCUUCGGGAAGGUCAAGAUUGCUGAGCAUAUAAAAACUGGCCACAAGGUGGCCGUCAAGAUCCUUAACCGCCGGAAAAUCAAAAACAUGGAGAUGGAAGAGAAAGUGAAAAGAGAGAUCAAGAUAUUAAGAUUAUUCAUGCACCCGCAUAUCAUCCGCCUUUAUGAAGUGAUAGAGGCACCAGCUGAUAUUUAUGUGGUCAUGGAGUAUGUUAAGUCUGGUGAAUUAUUUGACUACAUUGUUGAGAAAGGUAGGCUACAGGAGGAAGAGGCCCGCCGUUUCUUUCAACAGAUCAUAUCUGGUGUUCAAUAUUGCCACAGGAACAUGGUGGUGCACCGCGAUCUAAAGCCGGAGAACCUUCUUUUGGACAAUAAUUGUGAUGUUAAGAUUGCGGAUUUUGGCUUAAGUAAUGUUAUGCGUGACGGCCACUUUCUUAAGACAAGUUGUGGUAGCCCAAAUUAUGCAGCUCCGGAGGUUAUAUCUGGAAAACUGUACGCUGGGCCUGAAGUUGAUGUAUGGAGCUGCGGUGUUAUUCUUUAUGCACUUCUAUGUGGUACUCUUCCAUUUGAUGAUGAGAACAUACCCAACCUUUUUAAGAAAAUAAAGGGUGGAAUAUAUACCCUUCCGAGCCAUUUAUCAGGCCCAGCAAGGGAUUUGAUUCCAAGGAUGCUAGUUGUUGAUCCUAUGAAAAGGAUAACCAUUCGUGAAAUACGCGAGCAUCCAUGGUUUGAAGCUCAACUCCCACGAUAUUUAGCCGUGCCUCCACCAGAUACUGCGCAACAAGUUAAAAAGAUUGAUGAAGAAUCUCUUGUUAAAGUUAUCAGUCUGGGAUUUGACAAAAACCUGCUGGUUGAAUCAAUUCAUAAUAGAUUGCAAAAUGAGGCAACAGUUGCAUAUUAUUUAUUUUUGGAUAAUAAGAGUCGCACAACAACUGGCUAUCUUGGAGCUGGGUAUCAAGAAGCUAUGGAAUCUUCAUUCUCACCCAUUACUCCAAGUGAAACACAAAGUCCAGCUCAUGGAAAUCGGCAACAACCAUACAUGGAAUCUCCAGUUGGCUUGAGACCACAUUUUCCAGCUGAUAGGAAAUGGGCUCUUGGGCUUCAGUCUCGAGCACAUCCAAGAGAAGUUAUGACUGAAGUGCUGAAGGCUCUGCAAGAACUGAAUGUAUACUGGAAAAAAAUUGGACACUAUAACAUGAAAUGUAGAUGGAGUCCUCCUGGCUUUCCCGGUCAGGAGAAUAUGAGUCAUACCAAUUAUAACUUCAGUGCAGAGCCUAUUGAAACCGAUGACCUGGGUGACAAGUUAAAUUUAAUUAAGUUCGAACUUCAGCUUUACAAAACAAGAGAUGAGAAAUACCUUCUGGAUUUGCAAAGGGCGAGCGGGCCGCACCUCCUCUUUCUUGAUCUAUGUGCUGCCUUUCUAGCUCAGCUGAGAGUCCUUUGA